GGUAUGGAUGCAUCCUUCCUGAAAUGGGAUGAGGAUGGCAGACCCCUGGAGCAGCAGAAAAUGACCAUCUUCUCCAUUCUGGGCACCUGGAUUGACCACUCCCCUGAGGAUUUUUUCCAACCUGCAGUAUUUCCCUGCCUGAAGAUGCUGCUGGCAUAUGUGGGGCUUAACAUGCUGGGCUCACACCUGGAGCAACAUGCCUAUCUUCUCCUCUCAUAGCUGGGACACAUGGAGCCUAAUGAGCCAGAGGUUGAGGCUAUAGCACCCGUUCCGGAGCAGGAUCCAGAACCAACUCAAGAGCUAGCCCCAGCUCCCACUGUGGUGCCUGCUGCAGCUUCAGAGCCCGAGGUGGCUGAAGCCAUCACUCCUGCUGGAGCUCAGCAAUUAGGAAAAGCAGUGACCCUCCCUGCAGUGUCAGAGCCAGUGCAGGUGGUAGUUAUAGCUCUGAUUCACUGUCAGGAGCUGGAAGAACCACCUGCACCUUUGGCAGCCCUGGAGCAUGAGCAGGCCCCAGCCCCAGCUACUGGGGUUACGGAAGGACUAGAACAACCACUUGCUACAGCUGAACAACCAGCCUCAGCUCCCAAGCAGUGGCUCAUGUCGGCUGCAGCCCCAAAGGAUGGCUUCCCCUCCCCUGUCGUUGCUUUUUUUUUUUUUUGAAAUUUUUGUGUUUUUUAUUCAGAUAUGG